rnacentral:rRNA from 1 species
CAGGGAAUCUUGCACAAUGGGGGAAACCCUGAUGCAGCGACGCCGCGUGAACGAUGAAGCCCUUCGGGGUGUAAAGUUCUUUCGGCAGGGACGAUAAUGACGGUACCUGCAGAAGCAGCUGCGGCUAACUACGUGCCAGCAGCCGCGGUAAUACGUAGGCAGCAAGCGUUGUUCGGAAUUACUGGGCGUAAGGAGUGCGUAGGCGGUUGGCUAAGUUUGGUGUGAAAUCUCCCGGCUCAACUGGGAGGGUGCGCCGAAAACUGGCUGGCUAGAGUGCGGGAGAGGAUAGUGGAAUUCCUGAUGUAGCGGUGAAAUGCGUAGAUAUCAGGAGGAACACCUGAGGUGUAGACGGCUAUCUGGACCGUAACUGACGCUGAGGCACGAAAGCGUGGGGAGCAAACAG